AAUUAUUAAAGAAUUUCGGUUGUCGAUGGGGAUGCGUUCCAUUAGGCAGUUGGCGGGGUAACGGCCCACCAAACCUACGAUGGAUAGGGGUUCUGAGAGGAAGGUCCCCCACAUUGGAACUGAGACACGGUCCAAACUCCUACGGGAGGCAGCAGUGAGGAAUAUUGGUCAAUGGACGAGAGUCUGAACCAGCCAAGUAGCGUGAAGGAUGACUGCCCUAUGGGUUGUAAACUUCUUUUAUACGGGAAUAAAGUGAGCCACGUGUGGCUUUUUGUAUGUACCGUAUGAAUAAGGAUCGGCUAACUCCGUGCCAGCAGCCGCGGUAAUACGGAGGAUCCGAGCGUUAUCCGGAUUUAUUGGGUUUAAAGGGAGCGUAGGCGGGUUGUUAAGUCAGUUGUGAAAAGUUUGCGGCUCAACCGUAAAAUUGCAGUUGAUACUGGCGACCUUGAGUGCAACAGAGGUAGGCGGAAUUCGUGGUGUAGCGGUGAAAUGCUUAGAUAUCACGAAGAACUCCGAUUGCGAAGGCAGCUUACUGG
rnacentral:rRNA from 1 species